GGUGGUAUCACUGCGUUGAAAGGAUACACCUGUUCCCAUUCCGAACACAGAAGUUAAGCUUUCUACGGUCGAUGAUACUUGUCGCCCUGCGGCUGGGAAAGUAGAUGGAUGCCACCA
rnacentral:rRNA from 1 species